GAUGAACGCUGGCGGCGUGCCUAAUACAUGCAAGUCGAGCGAACAGACGAGGAGCUUGCUCCUCUGACGUUAGCGGCGGACGGGUGAGUAACACGUGGAUAACCUACCUAUAAGACUGGGAUAACUUCGGGAAACCGGAGCUAAUACCGGAUAAUAUAUUGAACCGCAUGGUUCAAUAGUGAAAGACGGUUUUGCUGUCACUUAUAGAUGGAUCCGCGCCGCAUUAGCUAGUUGGUAAGGUAACGGCUUACCAAGGCAACGAUGCGUAGCCGAGCUGAGAGGGGGAUAGGCCACACGGGAACCGAGACACGGUCAAGGCGCCUACGGGAGGCAGCAGUAGGGAAUCUGCCGCAAUGGGCGAAAGCUUGACGGAGCAGCGCCGCGUGAGUGAUGAAGAUCUUCGGAUCGUAAAACUCUGUUAUUAGGGAAGAACAAAUGUGUAAGUAACUGUGCACGUCUUGACGGUACCUAAUCAGAAAGCAACGGCUAACUACGUG
rnacentral:rRNA from 1 species